rnacentral:rRNA from 1 species
UACGUGGCAUACGGCUCAGUAACACGUAGUCAACAUGCCCAGGGGACGUGGAUAACCUCGGGAAACUGAGGAUAAACCGCGAUAGGCCAAGAUUUCUGGAAUGGAUCAUGGCUUAAAUCUAUAUGGCCCCUGGAUUGGACUGCGGCCGAUCAGGCUGUUGGUGAGGUAAUGGCCCACCAAACCUGUAACCGGUACGGGCUCUGAGAGGAGGAGCCCGGAGAUGGGCACUUAGACAAGGGCCCAGGCCCUAUGGGGCGCAGCAGGCGCGAAACCUCUGCAAUAAGCGAAAGCUUGACAGGGUUACUCUGAGUGAUUUCCGCUAAGGAAGUCUUUUGGCACCUGUAAAAAUGGUGCAGAAUAAGGGGUGGGCAAGUCUGGUGUCAGCCGCCGCGGUAAUACCAGCACCCCGAGUGGUCGGGACGAUUAUUGGGCCUAAAGCAUCCGUAGCCGGUCCUGCAAGUCCUCCGUUAAAUCCACCCGCUCAACGGUUGGGCCGCGGGGGAUACUACAGGGCUAGGAGGCGGGAGAGGCAAGCGGUACUCGAUGGGUAGGGGUAAAAUCCACUGAUCCAUUGAAGACCACCAGUGGCGAAGGCGGCUUGCCAGAACGCGCUCGACGGUGAGGGAUGAAAGCUGGGGGA